UGGGGAAUAUUGGACAAUGGGAGAAAGCCGGAUCCAGCCAUGCCGCGGGUGUGAAGAAGGUCUUCGGAUUGUAAAGCACUUCAAGGUGGGAGGAAGGGCAGUAAGCGAAUACCUUGCUGUUUUGACGUUACCGACAGAAUAAGCACCGGCUAACGCUGUGCCAGCAGCCGCGGUAAUACAGAGGGUGCAAGCGUUAAUCGGAAUUACUGGGCGUAAAGCGCGCGUAGGUGGUUCGUUAAGUUGAAUGUGAAAGCCCCGGGCUCAACCUGGGGACUGCCUCCAACACUGGCGAGCUAGAGUAGGGCAGAGGGUGGUGGAAUUUCCUGUGUAGCGGUGAAAUGCGUAGAUAUAGGAAGGAACACCAGUGGCGAGGGCGACCACCUGGGCUCAUACUGACACUGAGGUGCGAAAGCGUGGGGAGCAAACAGG
rnacentral:rRNA from 1 species